rnacentral:lncRNA from 1 species
AAAAUCAUCGAUAGUUCUACGACACCGCUAUGGGGUAUAUUAUUCAAUGGGAAGCAUUUUCUGGGCUAAGGACUGUUUAUAUUUGGGUUAGUAACGUACUCUAAUGUAUAUGUCUUAUUAAGGAGAAUAAUGGAUCAUGAUUCUCAAAUGUAAAAGUGCAGUAUUACUGGAAAAUUUUUCUAAAGUAAUAAAAAGAAAUGUAAAAAACAUUCGACGACGUGCCAGGUAGGAUUUAGAAAUAAGAACCAAAAGAAAUAAAGAAAACAAAUUAUACCCCACUGACAGGAAUUAUAUAAAACAUUAGUUUUCCGUAUAGAAUUCCUUUCUGCAUUGGAGGCCUUCGUCCGCGCUUCAAAAAAAUAGCCUUCGCUCGGACCUACACCUGGACACGCUCAGUUCUUUUGCGUUGGCGGCCUUGGGCCGCACUUCAAAAAAAUAACCCUUGGUCGGACCAACACCUGUGCGUGCUCAGUUUGUUUGCGGUGAACUCUUUUUUGCCCUAUCCAACACCAGGAUUUAUAAAGAUAAUGAGAAUUCCGGAAGAUUUUACAUUACUCAUCACACGAUAAUGAAUUUAGUUAUGACGUCAUAAUCUUUCUUUUUUCUUAUUUUUAUUCCUUUACAAAAUAUAGUAACACUAAUUUUUUGCUUGUUUACAAUCAUUUUCUUAUUUUAUGAAUAAAUGGAUUUUAACUGAAGUUUGAUAUGGAACUAAAGUUUUGCACUAUUUAAAAUAAAAUAAAUGAUUAGAAACGUAUUGGUGAAGUGUUACUGGAUAUAAAAGUAUAAAAUAUAAGUGUCAAAUGCAUUAUAAAUCGGAGAAACACGCAUUUUGAAUAGUUGACUUUUUGGACUUCAAACACAAAUAUCUAAAAAACCAUAAGUCAGUGGCAACUAUAUGUAUGUAUAUAUAUUCGACAAUAUUACGAUUCUUCCGGCGCCGCGAUUUGAUUUAUGGAUAGAGGAGGUCCUCAGGAUUAAG